GAUGAACGCUGGCGGCGUGCCUAAUACAUGCAAGUCGAGCGAACGGACGAGAAGCUUGCUUCUCUGAUGUUAGCGGCGGACGGGUGAGUAACACGUGGAUAACCUACCUAUAAGACUGGGAUAACUUCGGGAAACCGGAGCUAAUACCGGAUAAUAUUUUGAACCGCAUGGUUCAAAAGUGAAAGACGGUCUUGCUGUCACUUAUAGAUGGAUCCGCGCUGCAUUAGCUAGUUGGUAAGGUAACGGCUUACCAAGGCAACGAUGCAUAGCCGACCUGAGAGGGUGAUAGGCCACACUGGCACUGAGACACGGUCCAGACUCCUACGGGAGGCAGCAGUAGGGAAUCUUCCGCGAUGGGCGAAAGCCUGACGGAGCAACGCCGCGUGAGUGAUGAAGGUCUUCGGAUCGUAAAACUCUGUUAUUAGGGAAGAACAUAUGUGUAAGUAACUGUGCACAUCUUGACGGUACCUAAUCAGAAAGCCACGGCUAACUACGUG
rnacentral:rRNA from 1 species